rnacentral:rRNA from 1 species
GACAGAGGUCUCAAGCGUUAGGCGGAAUCACUGGGCUUAAAGCGUGCGUAGGCGGAUCGUUAAGUGCUUUGUGAAAUCCCACAGCUCAACUGUGGAACUGCUUGGCAUACUGACGGUCUUGAGCCAUCUAGGGGUCGCUGGAACAAACGGUGGAGCGGUGAAAUGCGUAGAUAUCGUUUGGAACGCCAAUGGUGAAAACAGGCGACUGGGGAUGUGCUGACGCUGAGACACGAAAGCCAGGGGAGCAAACGGG